CUAUUGUGAGAGUGUCAUUUUUAUGUUUGAAGGAAGAUGUGCAGAGGAGAGGGAGGAUAUUGUAGAAGACAAAAAAGGGCUGGUGUGGCUUCUGGACUUCUCAGCACUCUCAUCGCAGCUUCUGUGCAUCAAGUUGAGCACCGCCUACCUCUCCUACAGUGUAUAUAUACCUGAUCUUUCUCUCCAUUCAUCGCCAGCUCGUUGUUGUAACCACAAGUGUGCCGGGCCAUACUAACCUGUUUUCAUCUGCCACGCUCAGCCACAGCCUCUUCAUCAGCUAGGAUCCUCUCCACCUGGACAUCCAAUGACUCAGCUGGCUCAGCUUUGAGUUUCUCUCAUCUACACUCCUGCUUUACUGACUUUUUCUGGAUAAUAAACAAGUUAACUCCUACCCCUGUCUUUUC